GAUGAACGCUGGCGGCGUGCCUAAUACAUGCAAGUCGAGCGAACGGACGAGAAGCUUGCUUCUCUGAUGUUAGCGGCGGACGGGUGAGUAACAAGUGGAUAACCUACCUAUAAGACUGGGAUAACUUCGGGAAACCGGAGCUAAUACCGGAGAAUAUUUUGAACCGCAUGGUUAAAAACUGCAAGACGGUCUUGCUGACACUUAUAGAUCUACCCGCGCUGCAUUAGCUAGUUGGUAAGGUAACGGCUUACCAAGGCAACGAUGCAUAGCCGACCUGAGAGGGUGAUCGGCCACACUGGAACUGAGACACGGUCCAGACUCCUACGGGAGGCAGCAGUAGGGAAUCUUCCGCAAUGGGCGAAAGCCUGACGGAGCAACGCCGCGUGAGUGAUGAAGGUCUUCGGAUCGUAAAACUCUGUUAUUAGGGAAGAACAUAUGUGUAAGUAACUGUGCACAUCUUGACGGUACCUAAUCAGAAAGCCACGGCUAACUACGUG
rnacentral:rRNA from 1 species